AUCCUAAACCCAGUCUCACCUCCACAUCAGAGAAAAGAAAGCAACCAUCCACCCCCGCCUUCUCCAUUGCCGAACUACUUUCGGUGGACCAGAAGCUGUGGUCCUUGUCGCAUUUCAUAGAACCCUCAUGUCACUGCCGGACUAGCCUCAUCCUAGAUUCCUACUUCUCUACAUCACCCAGUUCUGCAGUUGCCAGCAUCGCUCAUGACGGUGGUUGCCUCAUCUCUGCUCGUGGUCGAUGGUUCAUGUCGCCGUCGCUACGUUAUCAUCCCGUAGUUGUCUUGGUUGCGGCAAGACUUUGAAGGUUUGAAAUUGCAUCUUAUCAAUUCUCAAGACUCAAUUCAACUGAAAAUGGUUCAUUAGUUUCAAAAAUUGAGGAUGAAUGCUUCGAUUGGAAAGCUAUUAGAACAAUUGAACAUCUAAAGAAAAAUAGUGAGGUAUAAAAUUAAAAUUGUUAUUGAAGAUGGUACUUCUCCCUGUGUGUUUGUUUUGGUGGAUAGUGCUACCACGAAACUAUUUGAAAAGACUUGCUCUGAAGCUUUCUUGCAGAUUGAAGAAAAGCUUUUUUUUUAUUCUAAUGUUAUUUUUCUGGUACAUGUAACAAACAUAAUGUUUGGAUUACAAGUUUUCCCUUUUUACUUAGAAUCAAAUUCAUUCCUAUU